rnacentral:ncRNA from 1 species
CAGCGUGUGCUCUCCUUGGCCGACAGGUCCGGGAAACCCGUUCGAACCCCCUGUCGUGCUAGGGAUAGGGAAUUGCAAUUAUUUCCCUUGAACGAGGAAUUCCCAGUAAGCGCGAGUCAUUAGCUCGCGUUGAUUACGUCCCUGCCCUUUGUACACACCGCCCGUCGCUACUACCGAUUGAAUGGUUUAGUGAGGUCCUCCGAUUGGACCCGGUCCGGGCGGCGACGUCCGAGCCGGCGUCCGAGAAGACGAUCUAACUUGAUCAUUUAGAGGAAGUAAAAGUCGUAACAAGGUUUCCGUAGGUGAACCUGCGGAAGGAUCAUUA